UACGCGAUGGUCUCGAAAGAGUAAAGUUUUAACGCUUAGGGAAAGGCCUGCGAGGUAUCAGCUAGUUGGUAGGGUAAAGGCCUACCAAGGCGACGACGGGUAUCCGGCCUGAGAGGGCGACCGGACACACUGGGACUGAGACACGGCCCAGACUCCUACGGGAGGCAGCAGUGGGGAAUAUUGCGCAAUGGGCGAAAGCCUGACGCAGCGACGCCGCGUGAGGGAUGAAGGUCUUCGGAUUGUAAACCUCUUUCAGCAGGGACGAAGCGAAAGUGACGGUACCUGAAGAAGAAGCACCGGCUAACUACGUG
rnacentral:rRNA from 1 species